GACGAACGCUGGCGGCGUGCUUAACACAUGCAAGUCGAACGGAAAGGCCCUGCUUUUGUGGGGUGCUCGAGUGGCGAACGGGUGAGUAACACGUGAGUAACCUCCCCUUGACUUUGGGAUAACUUCAGGAAACUGGGGCUAAUACCGGAUAGGAGCUCCUGCUGCAUGGUGGGGGUUGGAAAGUUUCGGCGGUUGGGGAUGGACUCGCGGCUUAUCAGCUUGUUGGUGGGGUAGUGGCUUACCAAGGCUUUGACGGGUAGCCGGCCUGAGAGGGUGACCGGCCACAUUGGGACUGAGAUACGGCCCAGACUCCUACGGGAGGCAGCAGUGGGGAAUAUUGCACAAUGGGCGGAAGCCUGAUGCAGCAACGCCGCGUGCGGGAUGACGGCCUUCGGGUUGUAAACCGCUUUCGCCUGUGACGAAGCGUGAGUGACGGUAAUGGGUAAAGAAGCACCGGCUAACUACGUG
rnacentral:rRNA from 1 species